rnacentral:rRNA from 1 species
CCUACGGGAGGCAGCAGUGAGGAAUAUUGGUCAAUGGACGAGAGUCUGAACCAGCCAAGUAGCGUGAAGGAUGACUGCCCUAUGGGUUGUAAACUUCUUUUAUAAAAGAAUAAAACGAGGCCCGUGUGCCUUUUUGCAUGUCCUUUAUGAAUAAGGAUCGGCUAACUCCGUUCCAGCAGACGCGGUAAUCCGGAGGAUCCGAGCGUUAUCCGGCUUUAUUGGGUUUAAAGGGAGCGUAGAUGGGUUGUUAAGUCAGUGGUGAAAGUUUGAGGCACAACCGUAAAAUUGCAAGUGAUACUGGCAGUAUUGAGUACAGUUGAGGUAUGCGGAAUUAGUGGAG